rnacentral:rRNA from 1 species
GACGGAGGGUGCUAGCGUUGUUCGGAAUGACUGGGCGUAAAGGGCGCGUAGGCGGCCGCUUGCGUCGGAUGUGAAAGCCCGGGGCUCAACCCCGGAACGGCAUCCGAUACGGGGCGGCUCGAGACCGAGAGAGGUGAGUGGAAUACCCAGUGUAGAGGUGAAAUUCGUAGAUAUUGGGUGGAACACCAGUGGCGAAAGCGGCUCACUGGCUCGGUUCUGACGCUGAGGCGCGAAAGCGUGGGGAGCAAACAGG